rnacentral:lncRNA from 1 species
CAAACCCACUGAGGAGCAGGACAUUGAGGCAGAAACAGAAGAACUCAUUUCCUUAACAAUUCCACCUCUGGCUAGGCACCCAAGGGAAUCCUAAAAUUCCAGAGACUCCAUAGCCCAAGGUAGGAAAAUCCCAAGUUGAAAGCCAGCUUCUGCAAUAUGGUGAGGCCUUAAGCAACACAGAGUGGCCCUACCUCAUAAAAUCUAUCUAUCUAUCUAUCUAUCUAUCUAUAUAGUUAUUUCAUAAAAACAUGGACAAAUAAACAGACACUUCCCCCAAAAGAAAUACAAAUGGCCAACAAACACUUGAAAAAAGUGAUUGAUAUCAUUAGUUAUCAAGAAAUGCCAAUGAUAACCAGACCAAGAUACCAGCUCACACCAGUUAGAAUGAAUAUCACCAAAGAAAUAAAAAUGUAACAAAUGUUGACAAGGAUGUAGAACCUUUAUGAGUUGAAGUUAAAGCUUAUAUAGUUGUGAGAUCACUUUGUGAUCAACAACAUAUCUGUUUGUUAAUGAAUUGGAAACAGUUCAAUUUAAAUGUGUGUGUUUGUAUGCACAUGUGCAUAUGUGUGCGCAUGCAGCCAAAUCUUGAAGAGUGCCAAACAAACCUUGGUAGUCUAUAGUAUUUAGUAUCUCUGAUGUGUGGAUUAGAAAUGUUUGAGGCUCAAUUUUUACUUUCCAUACCAUUUGCUGUUUACAAUAAGAACUAGAAAGUGCAAUGCCAACCUCUCUGUGCAAGAACAGUUUCACUCUAAUGUCGCAGAUUCCAUUUUGACUUGCUGUUGGCAAGGAUGACAGAAACCUAUGUGUGGACUCACCUCCUGGCCCUUCAUGGAACCAGCCCCCGGGCAGUGCUGGUAGAAUGCUGAGCCUUUGCUUUAAUACAACAAAUUUCUUGCCAUUUUUCACAGAUUAUUUCACCUAAACAGAUUCCUCUGGUUCCACCCAUGUCCUUAGAACAGUAAUGAUUUGUACAUUUCAAAAUAGAUAGAGUAGGGGCUUUGGAUGUUCUCACACAAUUACAUGGUAUCAUCGAGGAAGUAGAUUUACUCAAUAAACAGAGUUGUGGAAUAAUCAGGUGGUACUCUGCAGAUAUACACAAUUAUUCUGUCAAUUAACAGGAAAAAGAAACAAAGAUAGAGAUGAUAUGCAAGUCCCCUUCUCUUUUUUUAACUUUCAAUUUACUUUAUUUCACACUUCAGUCGAUUUAUAAAUUCAAAUGCCUUUGGCACAACUGGGUGUGGUAUUCCAUAUUUGGAUCAACUCUUUAAUUUCCAGUACACUGUAACUUUCUACUCAUAGUUAUCUUUAUUCUCUGAAAUACUAUUGUAAAUCUUAAAAUCUGAUAUAUUAUCUCUGAUUUUGUACAUUAUUGCUAAGUAUUUAUGUCCUAUCUCAAUAAUAUAAACUGUAAAAUGUGCACUUGGGAAAUAAAUGAAAUUUGCUUCUAUCCAUUAAAAACUAAUUUUGGGUAUUUUCAGGGAUAUGUAAUAGGUGCAUCAUUCUUUCCCAUAAAUAUUAAAAAAAGGAAACAUAAGAGAGUUGUAUCUGCACAUUUUAAUAACCUAGUUUAUAUCAUCAAUGUGUCUGUAAUUUCCUUAUUUAAAUCUAUAAAUUGUAUAAUUUAUAUUUUUACUAUGACAAAUUAAAUUUGGGAAAAUUGAGAGCCUUCAGAGGAAUUUGUUCACUAAAAUCUUAGACCAAUAAAAGGAGAAACUAUCACCUUAUGUACAUAAAGUUCCUUUGGGGCAAUUUGAUUAGGUCACCUUUCAAGGCCACAUGAUAACAGUCCUAAUCCUAUCAGUGGGGCCGAAUUACAUCUAUUCUAAUCAUCUCUGGGAUAUUUUGAAACUUAUCACUUAACAUUUCUUUAUACCUAAAUAUUUUGAUACAUGCA